UACGUAGGGGGCGAGCGUUGUCCGGAGUUACUGGGCGUAAAGGGCACGCAGGCGGUGCGGCGCGUUUCGCGUGACAGCGGGGGGCUUAACUCUCCGAGGAUGCGAAAGACGGCGGCACUUGAGGGCCAGAGAGGGACACGGAAUUCCGGGUGGAGUGGUGAAAUGCGUAGAGAUCCGGAGGAACACCGAAGGCGAAGGCAGUGUCCUGGCUGGUGACUGACGCUGAGGUGCGAAAGCUAGGGGAGCGAACGGG
rnacentral:rRNA from 1 species